GGUCCAAUGGUCUAGUGGUUAUGAUUUCUGUCUUACAAUUUACGUUGUAAAGUACACAGACGGUCUCCAGUUCGACCCUGGAUUGGACCA